rnacentral:misc_RNA from 1 species
GAUGAAGAACGUAGCGAAAUGCGAUAAGUAAUGUGAAUUGCAGAAUUCAGUGAAUCAUCGAAUCUUUGAACGCACCUUGCGCCCUUUGGCCAUUCCGAAGGGCAUGCCUGUUUGAGUAUCAUGAACACCUCAACUCUUCAUGGUUUUCCGUGAUGAGCUUGGACUUUGGGGGUCUUGCUGGCCUAUGGUCAGCUCCUCUAAAAUAAAUCAGCUUGCCAGUGUUUGGUGGGUAUCACAGGUGUGAUAACUAUCUACGCUUGUGGUUUUCCACCAGGUAACCUUCAGCAGUGGAGGUACGCUGGAGCUCACAGAUGUGUCUCUCCUCAGUGAGGACAGCUCUUUGAAUGUUUGAUCUCAAAUCAGGUAGGACUACCCGCUGAACUUAAGCAUAUCAAUAAGCGGAGGA